ACGCAGUAAACGAAGGAUACUAGAAGCUCGCAACCACGCUUAUGUUUUUCAAAGCUAACGCAUUAAGUAGACCGCCUGGGGAGGACGGCCGCAAGGGUCAAACUCAAAUGAAUUGACGGGUGCCCGCACAAGCGGUGGAGCAUGUGGUUUAAUUCGAUGCAACGCGAAGAACCUUACCUACACUUGACAUACAGAGAACUUACCAGAGAUGGUUUGGUGCCUUCGGGAACUCUGAUACAGGUGCUGCAUGGCUGUCGUCAGCUCGUGUUGUGAGAUGUUGGGUUAAGUCCCGCAACGAGCGCAACCCCUAUCCUUAGUUGCUAGCAGGUAAUGCUGAGAACUCUAAGGAGACUGCCGGUGAUAAACCGGAGGAAG
rnacentral:rRNA from 1 species